ensembl:rRNA 5S_rRNA 5S ribosomal RNA
UUCUUGUGAGAUCCCUCUAAGAGGGUUCAUGGUGAUCUCUCAUCUGAUCUCAGAAGCUAAGCAGGGUUGGGCCUGGUUAGUACUUGGAUGGGAGACCAAAAUGAACUGGAUUCAGUUGUGA